UACGUAGGGUGCAAGCGUUAAUCGGAAUUACUGGGCGUAAAGCGUGCGCAGGCGGUUGUGCAAGACCGAUGUGAAAUCCCCGGGCUUAACCUGGGAAUGGCAUUGGUGACUGUACGGCUAGAGUGUGUCAGAGGGGGGUAGAAUUCCACGUGGUAGCAGUGAAAUGCGUAGAGAUGUGGAGGAACACCGAUGGCGAAGGCAGCCCCCUGGGUCAAGACUGACGCUCAUGCACGAAAGCGUGGGGAGCAAACAGG
rnacentral:rRNA from 1 species